rnacentral:rRNA from 1 species
GAUGAACGCUGGCGGCGUGCCUAGCACAUGCAAGUCGAGCGAACAGAUGAGGAGCUUGCUCCUCUUCAGUUACCGGCGGACGAGUGAUUAACACGUGGAUAACCUACCUAUCAGACUGGGAUAACUUCGCGAACCCGGAGCUAGUACCGGUCAAUAUAUAGAACCUCAUGGUUCUAUAGUUCUAGACGUUUUAGCUGACCCUUGUAGAUUGAUCCGCGCUGCAUUAGCUAGUUGCUAAGGUAACGGCUUACCAAGGCAACGAUCCGUAGCCGACCUGAGAGGCUGAUCGGCCACACUGGAACUGAGACACGGUCCAGACUCCUACGGGAGGCAGCAGUAGGGAAUCUUCCGCAAUGGGCGAAAGCAUGACGGAGCAGCGCCGCGUGAGUGACGAAGGUCUUCGGAGCGUAAAGCACUGUGAAUAGGGAGGAACGACAGUGUAAGUAACAAUAGAUGUAUUGACGUUACCAAGACAAAAAGCAACGGCUAACUACGUG